AUGAGUGUAGCGGAGGUGAAGGCUCUUGGCCCAAAGCAGAAGGUAGGAGAGGUCCGUGGGAAGGUUCGAGUACACAGUUCCUUAAGCAGAAUGGUGACGGUCCGAGGCUCGGACGUUGAGCUCAAAGAAGUAGUAAUCUGCGAUGGGACGGGCGAGAUCAGCGUGACGUUGUGGGACAGCUACGUUAACCAGGCUGAGGGCGGCAAGUCGUAUGCAUUUAAGAACUUGUGUACGAGAGAAAGAGAUGGGAGCAUCCGUCUGUGUACCGGCCCGGGAAGCACCAUCGAGCAGAUCGCAGAUUUGGAAGUUCCACACGGGGAAGGCGGCGAGGAGGAGGACGGAUCAAAGGCGCUUUUCAGCGCCACUUUAAAGGGCAUCGACGUCGUGAUUCAGCGAAAGUGUUCCAGCUGUCAGUUUAACCAGACAGAGUUCGUAGAGAAGUCCCUGACACACAGGUGUGAGAGAUGCAACCAGUAGCAGGCGUCACUAGCUUUCUCGACCUGUUUUGGAGGAAAAGCCAUCUUCUCGACUGCCGACGGCGACGAGAGAGUGCUGCUGACCAGCUCCGCGCUGACGACCUACCUGCGCGCCGCCGGACUCAGCAGUGCGUUUAACGAUGCGGAGGCCAUCGAAGAUCACUUUCUUCAGUCGGCAGUUUUCGACGUAAAAGUGAACGUGGAUGGCUUUCUUCUAUCUAUCGAAGCUGCGGAUGCGAGACGUGCUUCCGGCGCGGAUGACCAGCGGGCCGGCGAUACAGACGAAGGUGCGUCGCAGAUGGCAGAGCAUGCUGAAGGGCAGGUCGCAGAGGAAGGCGGCGCGGCGACUCCUGGCUCGGUGGCCUAAACAAGUUUCGCAGCUUCGUGAAGAAGAGCAUGGUUUGACGAAUAGGCUAUGUUUCCGUAAUAACCUAUUGUGUUUUACGUUUCCUUUAAAUGUUCAGUAGUUCACCAAGUUUUCUGCUCGUUUAUAGGCUGUAAUAAAUGUUAAAUAAAUAUAUUUCGUUUAUCUAAA
ensembl:lncRNA